rnacentral:rRNA from 1 species
CGUGCGGAUGCUUACCUGCAGUCGAACGGCAGCACGGACUUCGUUGUGCCGUGGAGGGGCAAAGGGGUGAGUAAGGUAUCGGAACGUGACUAUACUCGGGGGAUAACUACACGAAAGGGAAACUAAUACCGCUUACGCCCUACAGCUGAAAGCGGGGGAUCGCAAUACCUUGCCCUAUUAGAGCGGCCGAUAUCGGAUUAGCUUUAUGGAGGGGUAACGGCUCACCAAGGCCACGAUCCGUAUCUGGUUUGAGAGGACGACCAGCCACACUGGCACUGAAACACGGCCCAGACUCCUACUCCAGGCAGCAGUGGGGAAUUUUGGACAAUGGGGGAGACCCUGAUCCUGCCAUCCCGCGUGCGCGAUGAAGGCCUUCGGCUUGUAAAGCACUUUUGCUUUUAAAGAAAAAGAUGGGAUAAUACCCCGAGAAACUGACGGUACCUGCACAAUAAGAACCGGCUACCUACGUGUCCGCAGCCGCGGUAAUACGUAUGCUGCAAGCGUUAAUCGGAAUUACUGUUAGUGAAGCGUGCGCAGGCGGAUCGGAAAGAAAGAUGUGAAAUCCCAGAGCUUAACUUUGGAACUGCAUUCUUUAACUACCGACUCUAGAGUGUGUCAGAGGGAGGAGGGAAUUCCGAGUGCCUGAGGGAAAUGCGAAAUAUAUGCGAGAGGAACACCGAUGUCGAUGGCAGACUCCUGCUACCUGACUGACGCUGAUGCACGAAAGCGUGGGGAGCAAACAGGAUUAGAUACUCCUGUACCCUCCACGCCCCUAAACCAUGUCAACUAGCCUGCUGGGAUGCCUGUCGUGCCCAUUGGGUAGUCGCAGCUAUCGCGUGUAAGCGUGACCGACCCUGCGGGCAGGCAUGGGGUGCGCUACGAGUUCAAAGAACGUACCUU